GAGAGGGAGAGAGAGAGGAGGGGCAGAGGGAAUGGGAGAGAGAGAGAAUCCCAAGCAGGAUCUGCAAUGUCAGCACAGAGCUAGAUGCAGGGCUCAAUCUCAGGGACCGACCCUUAGAUCGUGACCUGAGCCCAAACCAAGAGUCAGACGCUUAACCAACUGAAUCACCCAGGUGCUGCUAGUCAGGCUCGUACAUUGAAAAGAGAAGAGUCUGCUGACAUUCAUUCGGACUCAAGCAAUGCGAGGAUUCUCCCGAGUAUUCUCGCUAAAAACCACAAUUACAGUUCAGCGAACUCCCCAGCUCCUUUUCACUGCUGACAAAUUUAACACACACAUUUUAAACCACAAAGUUGAAAGAACAAACCUUUUGAAGUGAUAAUGACGUAAUGAUUACAAUGUAACACUUUCUAAAAAGGAAAUUCAUUGCUAGUAGCUGUUUAAACUUCUGGGCUCUGAUUUAAAACCCCCGCAAUUCUUCCACAGAGAAGAUGAGAACAAUUUUUACCAUCAACAGAUUAUUCUUUCUGAAUUUUCAUCCCUUUCCCUAAAAGAAAUAUAAAUUUAAUACAGUCAUCAU